AUGAACGCUGGCGGCGUGCCUAAUACAUGAAAGUCGAGCGAACGGACGAGAAGCUUGCUUCUCUGAUGUUAGCGGCGGACGGGUGAGUAACACGUGGAUAACCUACCUAUAAGACUGGGAUAACUUCGGGAAACCGGAGCUAAUACCGGAUAAUAUUUUGAACCGCAUGGUUCAAAAGUGAAAGACGGUCUUGCUGUCACUUAUAGAUGGAUCCGCGCUGCAUUAGCUAGUUGGUAAGGUAACGGCUUACCAAGGCAACGAUGCAUAGCCGACCUGAGAGGGUGAUCGGCCACACUGGAACUGAGACACGGUCCAGACUCCUACGGGAGGCAGCAGUAGGGAAUCUUCCGCAAUGGGCGAAAGCCUGACGGAGCAACGCCGCGUGAGUGAUGAAGGUCUUCGGAUCGUAAAACUCUGUUAUUAGGGAAGAACAUAUGUGUAAGUAACUGUGCACAUCUUGACGGUACCUAAUCAGAAAGCCACGGCUAACUACGUG
rnacentral:rRNA from 1 species